GGUAGGAUGGCUGAGAUUUAGGCAAUAGAUUGUAAAUCUAGUUAGGGGGUUUGACUUCUCCUACCA
rnacentral:tRNA from 1 species